rnacentral:rRNA from 1 species
AGAGUUUGAUCCUGGCUCAGGAUGAACGCUAGCUACAGGCUUAACACAUGCAAGUCGAGGGGCAGCAUGUUGGUUGCUUGCAACCAACGAUGGCGACCGGCGCACGGGUGAGUAACGCGUAUCCAACCUACCCUUGUCCAUCGGAUAACCCGUCGAAAGGCGGCCUAACACGAUAUGCGGUUCACAGCAGGCACCUAACGUGAACGAAAUGUGAAGGAGAAGGAUGGGGAUGCGUCUGAUUAGCUUGUUGGCGGGUAACGCCACAAGGCUACGAUCAGUAGGGGUUCUGAGAGGAAGGUCCCCCANAUUGGAACUGAGACACGGUCCAAACUCCUACGGGAGGCA